rnacentral:rRNA from 1 species
UGGCUUAGAAGCAGCCAUUCAUUUAAAGAGUGCGUAAUAGCUCACUGGUCGAGUGAAGUUGCGCGGAAAAUUACCGGGGCUAAGUUAUACACCGAAAUUGCGGAUUCAUUAAGAAAUUAAUGAGUGGUAGAGGAGCGUUCUAUACAGGAUGAAGUAUGAUCGAGAGGACAUAUGGACAGUAUAGAAGAGAGAAUGCCGGAAUGAGUAGCGAGAGCAAAGUGAGAAUCUUUGCCGUCGAAAAUCUAAGGUUUCCUGGGGAAGGUUCGUCCGCCCAGGGUAAGUCGGGACCUAAGGUGAGGCCGAAGGGCGUAGCCGAUGGACAGCAGGUUAAGAUUCCUGCACCAGUAUACAUGUAUAAUGCAUAAGAGGACACAUUUGAAGAAGGUGAGCGAGGAAGAGGAAAAACUCGUAUGGCAACAUAUAGUGAAAUUAAGUAACGAAUCAUCAAGAGGCAAGUGGCGAGAAAAGUCUUAUGUAGUUGUGUAGACUGCCCGUACCGCAAACCGACACAGGUAGAUGAGGAGAGGAUCCUAAGACGAGCGGGAGAAGCAUUGUUAAGGAACUCGGCAAAUUGACCCCGUAACUUAGGGAUAAGGGGUGCUGGUGUAAAAACCAGUCGCAGUAAAUAGGCCCAAGCAACUGUUUAACAAAAACACAGGUUUCUGCUAAAUCGCAAGAUGAAGUAUAGGAGCUGACUCCUGCCCAGUGCUGGAAGGUUAAGGGGAAAGGUUAAGAAUAAUUCAUUAUAUCUGAAGCUUUGAACUCAAGCCCCAGUGAACGGCGGCCGUAACUAUAACGGUCCUAAGGUAGCGAAAUUCCUUGUCAGGUAAGUUCUGACCCGCACGAAAGGAGUAAUGAUUUGGGCACUGUCUCAACAAUGUACCCGGCGAAAUUGUAGUACUAGUGAAGAUGCUAGUUACCUGCGACAAGACGGAAAGACCCCAUGGAGCUUUACUAUAGCCUGAUAUUGGGCUUUGGUAUCUUAUGUACAGGAUAGGUGGGAGACUAUGAGAUUAAGACGCAAGUCUUAAAGGAGUCAACCUUGGAAUACCACCCUUAAGAUAUUAGAGUUCUAACUUGUGAUCAUAAACUGGUCAGAGGACAUUGUCAGGUGGGUAGUUUGACUGGGGCGGUCGCCUCCUAAAGAGUAACGGAGGUGCGCAAAGGUUUCCUCGGCACGGUCAGAAAUCGUGCUAAUGAGUGUAAAGGCAUAAGGAAGCUUAACUGAGAGAGAGACAUCUCGACCAGAUACGAAAGUAGGUCUUAGUGAUCCGGUGGUAGAAAAUGGAAUUGCCAUCGCUCAACGGAUAAAAGUUACCCUGGGGAUAACAGGCUUAUCUCCCCCAAGAGUUCACAUCGACGGGGAGGUUUGGCACCUCGAUGUCGGCUCAUCGCAUCCUGGGGCUGAAGUCGGUCCCAAGGGUUGGGCUGUUCGCCCAUUAAAGCGGUACGCGAGCUGGGUUCAGAACGUCGUGAGACAGUUCGGUCCCUAUCUGUCGCAGGCGCAGGAUAUUUGAAAGGAGCUGUCCUUAGUACGAGAGGACCAGGAUGGACAUACCAAUGGUGCAACAGUUGUCACACCAGUGGCACAGCUGUGUAGCUAAGUAUGGAAGGGAUAAACGCUGAAAGCAUCUAAGCGUGAAGCCCCCCUUAAGAUAAGAUAUCCCACAACGUCAAGUUGGUAAGAUUCCAGUUAGACUAACUGGUUGAUAGGUUAGAGGUGUAAGUGUGGUGACACAUUUAGCUGACUAAUACUAAUAAUCGAGGGCUUAACCAA